rnacentral:rRNA from 1 species
AGCUCCAAAAGCGAAUGUUGAUUCUGCUGAAGUUAAAAAGCUCGUAGUUGUAAUUUAGGUUUUGGUUGGUGUGGAGGCGGACGAAAGUCCCUUCCCUCUUGCCUUGACCUUUUGUGCAGGGAACCCGUCUUCGGGCGGUGGAUCUGUGCCGUUUACUGUGAGGAAAUCCGCUCGCUCAAAGAACCCGUAUGGGUGUAGAGUUCAGCACGGAAUGAUAAGAUACGACUUUUCGUUGUCUUGUUGGUUUGCAAUGGAAGUAAUGAUAAAUAGGAACAGUUGGGGGUACUUGUAUUGGCGAGCUAGAGGUGAAAUUCUGGGAUUUCGUCAAGACAAACGACUGCGAAAGCAUUUACCAAGGAUGUUUUCAUUA